CCUACGGGAGGCAGCAGUGGGGAAUAUUGCACAAUGGGGGAAACCCUGAUGCAGCGACGCCGCGUGAGUGAAGAAGUAAUUCGUGAUGUAAAGCUCUAUCAGCAGGGAAGAAAAUGACGGUACCUGAGUAAGAAGCCCCGGCUAACUACGUGCCAGCAGCCGCGGUAAUACGUAGGGGGCAAGCGUUAUCCGGAUUUACUGGGUGGAAAGGGAGCGUAGACGGCAGUGCAAGGCUGGUGUGAAAGGCGCGGGCUAAACCCCCGGACUGCUCUGGAAACUGUACGGCUGGAGUGCAGGAGAGGGAAGUGGAAUUCCUAGUGUAGCGGUGAAAUGCGUAGAUAUUAGGAAGAACACCAGUGGCGAAGGCAGCUUACUGGACUGUAACUGACGUUGAGGCUCGAAAGCGUGGGGAGCAAACAGGAUUAGAUACCCCAGUAGUC
rnacentral:rRNA from 1 species